GGCUCUGCUGGAGCCCACUCAGAGAGCCCUUUACAGAGAUGUCAUGCAGGAGAACUAUGAGAAGGUGACCUUGCCGGGUAAGGAUUCCCGUCCCCUCGGUUCUUAGAAGGGGAAAUGAAAACUUAAGGUUCACGCCACUCCCACAAUGCCACCUCUGCUCUGCCCGGUUUCAGCAGCACCCUGACAUGCCAGUGACACACACACUAGCCCUCUGCCCUCCCCUGUUACAGAGCGCUCUGGGAACAGAGCAGUCCAGCAGAAAGUCUCACCACUUCUCUUUGCUAAGAUAAUCGGGUUCAUCUCCAUCAUAGCAAACAGAAGCUUCCUCCCCCUGGGCUGCUCUCCAGUACUGAACCUCCUGCACACAGACCAUCUCAGACUUGCAAAGUGUUACCACCCCUUUGCCCUCAACCUGAGUUUUCCUUGUGAGUCACUGCCUUCACUUACCCCUCACUAAGCCCCACAGAUCACUCGAACAUACGCCACCAGGGUGCUGACAAUCCCCAUGGCAAGAACACACGCUAGGGCACCUUUGCUGACACAGCCUACAACACUCAGCACAGAAAUGAGGCAGAAUUGGCCCCCCAAGUUUCACAUGCACCUCUCUGCGUAGCACAGGCACAGCUCUGCCCAGCUGCUCCAGCCCAUCCCUCCAUCAGCCAGUCACAGCUACAGCUGGCCCAGUGCACACAGCUGGAGGCAUGUGGAUAGAUGCUGGGAUUCCCAUCUGUGAACACAGCACAGACAACGGCACGUUCUCUUAGUCUUUCCUCGGAUCGAUUAUAGGUUCGCAGCUUUGAAGGCCAGAUGUGACUAUUAGGUCAUCUGCUCUGACGUCCUUUAUACCACAGACCAUAGAAUUCAUCCUGUUACUGCUGCAUUGAGCUGAAUAUCUGAGUCCCUGUGGCAGUUUGUUAACCUUUGCACGGCCCACACAGAACCAUCCUCAGUGGUUCUUGCCAGCUGCAGGGUUGAGGGUUGGGGGCAAAGUUAAGGUUGCAUUGGAGGCGUUUACAUUAACUUCUCAUUUCCUGGUUCGCAGAGGUUUAAGUUUAGUCACCAUCUAUACCAGAGGUGGGCAAAGUACCCUCCUGCCUCCCUUGUUUUCUUUCCCUUGAGCAGGGUUUCCAGUUUCCAAACCCUCUGUGAUCUCCCAGCUGGAAGGAGGGGAAGAGCCGUGGGUCCUGGAUCUCCAGGGUUCAGAGGAAAACGAGAUCCUGAGAAGUCCCUGGACAGCAGGUGAUGGGGUGGUGAGGGAGAGCGAGGAGCAGAAUCCUCACCAGGAAGAUGCUGAGCUCGCCGAAGCGCAUGGGGAAUUACUGCGAAGAUCCAAAGGGAGCGUGUCCAGCCCCCGUGAUCAGGGAAAAGCUGAUGAAAGUUACCACAGACCAGAGAGAUAGCAGGGAAACCAGUCAGAGGAGAGAGUGGAUGAACCCAUUAAUUGUCAGGCAACUCACAGGGACCUCAAGGAAACUACGUCCCAGGAGAAAAUCCUCACGGAGAAGCGAGAGAAUACAUGUAGUGAGUGUGGGAAAAACUUCAAUUACCAUUCAGGCCUUAUUCGACAUGAGAUAAUCCACACAAAAGAGAGACCCUACGAAUGCUGUGAGUGUGGGAAAAGCUUCAGUCGUACCUCUGCCCUUAGUAGGCAUCAACAAAUACACAGAGGAGAGCGACCCUACGAAUGCUGCGAGUGUGGGAAAAGCUUCUUUCGGAGCUCAACCCUUAUUACACAUUACAGAAUCCACACCGGGCAGAGACCCUAUGAAUGGUGCGAGUGUGGGAAAAGCUUCGCUCAUAGUUCAGGCCUUUCUAAACAUCAGAGAAUCCGUAAAGGAGAUAAACUUCAUAAAAACCUUCUCUAGAGCUGUCAGAAGAUUUUUUUUCUUUAAUUCUUUUGACAGUUCCCAGGUAGU